UCCUCGGCUCUCGUGCGCAACAGACGUCGCUUUCUGCAGGCGCAUGUAAACAGAUAGUUAAUAACAUUUCAAAUAGCAAUAAUAAUAGCAAUACCAAUAGCAAUAGCAACAGCAACAACAAGCACAACAACCAAUAACCAAAAGUGUCGGCUAGAAAGUUAGCCAAACGAAGCGAAAGCUAAGAAUCUACUCAGUCGCAUUUGCCGCGUGUGAGUGCCGAAAGCAAGUGAAAGUGAAUUUAAGCGAGUGCCGUUGCAUUUUUGCAGUGUUGUGUAAUCGUCAUUUUGGCUAGUGCUACAGUAUGUGAAAUCGAUUAAUUAGCAAUCGACAUCGCCAGCGACAGCCGUUGGUAUUUUGAUCGUGACCCGUUACUUUAAUGGCAUAGCAUUAGUCAGCCUGUGUGUGCCAGUGUGCGUUGGUGUGUGCUUGCGUGUUCAUGUGUGUUUGUGUGUGUGUGUGUGUUCAGUGUGACACACUUUGCUGUUGUUGUUAUUGUGCUUUGCUUGUCUUGGCCAUUGUUGUUGCUCUUUGUGUGCGCUGCGCCUUAUUAAAUGUCCUUGAUGUCGUCGCUAUGUCUGACUGCCACGCCCCCGCGACUCUUAACAAAAAAAACUUUAUUAAAUCAAACCGUUUGUGGCUAUUCCAGUGACUACACAGUCGCACGAAAUUAUCGCAGACCAAAUGAAAUAAACGAAAUAUGGAAAAUUCCUGCAAGUACAACUGUGGAACUAUGGAAAAAUAAGCAAGCAUACAUUUUGGGUGUUUACGUCAUGUUUGUCUACGCUUAAAGGCGUUUGUAUGCCAACAGCCCUAUUCAUAUACAUAUAUAAAUUCGUAUAUAUGCAUAUAUGUUAUAUGUAGAAGUCUGUUCCGUAUGUGCGCCUGUGUUUGUUGUGCCUGUCUUUGUGUUAGCCUUUGUAUUGGUACUCGAUUAGGCCUCGGUAUAUCACGUCACAUGCCACUAGCCUGACAGUGAAUCCAAAAUUCUGAAGGCAGCCGCCUCAUAAAUGCAUGCCAAGUACUAUUUAAUAUUUAUAUAGAUACCAGCAUAUUAUCCCCAACUGUAUAAACUGUACAAACUGUCCAAACUGUGUGUAAACUGUUUGCCUAAUGCAAAUUCAACAAGCUGCACCUACCAUUUCCUCUAAUAAGCCAACUCGCUGAGCUGUUUGUACAAAUUUACAGCUUCAAGCUAAACCAAAAAAAAAUUUGUAUAACGUAGAGAGAAAUCAUCAGAAAUCAAAAACCAAAUAACCAUAAGAAAUAACCAUAACAAAAACUGUAUUGAAAAAAAAGCAAACAAACAAACCAAACAUAACUGUAAAUUGGUAUAUACAAACGAGCCUGUUGCAGCAAACAGUAAACAAACAAACAAACAAACAACAGCAAUAACAAACGCCGCUAGUAGUUUCCUUUUGUGGCACAAGCGAAAAUUACAUUUUGCAUAGUAGACUUUUAGGCGUCGCACUCAAUUUAGUUGAAAAGCAACAACA